rnacentral:misc_RNA from 1 species
GUCUCGCCAAAGCUUAGGCAAAAGACCAAUCAAACAGAAAAAGCAGACGUGAUCUAAGCGAGUGAAGUGCCAAUUCCCUUUAUGAGGGUUCGAGUCGAAGCAUACGAGCAGGAGUUUCGUACGAGUUUUAGACCAAGAGAGAUAAGGGAGACUCGACUAGCAGGAGAGGACUGAGUUGAAUAUUCUAUUACAGUGAUAUUACAGUGAAUCUGGCUAAAGG